rnacentral:lncRNA from 1 species
AAAAUCAGAUCAAAGGAAGAAGAAAAAAAUGGCAAUCAACAGAAUUUCAGGUCUCAAUGGGGGAAUGAAGAUAGUAUAUAUAGAUUAAGUUCUCAUAAAAUACUAGAAGAUUCAGUCAAACUGCAUUUGUGGAACUGCACUGUGGAAUUUCACCUGAGGAGCCCCAUCUGUAUGAGGGGCUGAUUUAGCAGAGAGGUUCUGGAUUUCAAGCCAAUGCCAUUAUGUGAUGAGAUUUUGAGGCUCCUGGAAAGAGGUUAAUAGUCCAGUCAGUCAGAGCUGGUGAAGUAGACUUGCUGUAGAAGGUGUGAAGGCCCAGUCCUCCCUCCACGUUUCUCCACCCUUGAAAGGUCGUGUGCAUGUCUGUUCACCCAUGAAAGAAGAGGAAGACACCAAAUGGAUGGCAUUGAUUUCAUUUUAAGUAAGU